UGGGAAUAAGCAGGGAAAGAAGAGAGC
rnacentral:piRNA from 1 species